rnacentral:misc_RNA from 1 species
ACACCUCAACUCUCGUGGUCUUCCACGACGAGCUUGGACUUUGGAGGUUUGCUGGCCCUGCGGCCGGCUUCUCUCAAAUGAAUCAGCUUGCCAGUGUUUGGUGGCAUCACGGGUGUGAUAACUAUCUACGCUCGCGGUCGUCUGCCAGGUUACCUUCAGCGAUGAAGGUUCAUUGGGGCUCACAAACGUCUCUCCUCAGCGAAGACAACUUUUGAAC